ensembl:lncRNA
CCGUUGUUUCCGUUGUUUCCGUUGUUUCCGUUGUUGUUCUUGACCAGUCACCUAAUUUUCUGUCUUAUGUUUCUGUCUCUGUGGAGGUUGUUUCCGUUGUUUCCGUUGUUUCCGUUGUUUCCGUUGUUUCCGUUUUUUCCGUUGUGGUUCUUGACCUGUCACCUAAUUUUCUGCCUUAUGUUUUUGUCUCUGUGGAGGUUGUUUACGUAGUUUCCGUUGUUUCCAUUAUUUCCGUUGUUCUUCUUGACCUAUCACCUAAUUUUCUGCCGUAUGUUUCUGUCUCUGUGGACGUUGUUUUGUUUCCGUUGUUUCCGUUGUUUCCGUUGUUCCUCUUGACCUGUCACCUAAUUUUCUGCCGUAUGUUUUUGUCUCUGUGGAGGUUGUUUUGUUUCCGUUGUUUCCGUUGUUUCCGUUCUUUCCGUUGAUGUUUUUGACCUGUCACGUAAUUUUCUGCUGUAUGUU